rnacentral:rRNA from 1 species
CACGUAGGGGCCAAGCGUUGUCCGGAUUUAUUGGGCGUAAAGAGCUCGUAGGCGGUUGGGUAAGUCGGGUGUGAAAACUCCAGGCUCAACUUGGAGACGCCACCCGAUACUGCUCUGACUUGAGUUCGGUAGAGGUAGAUGGAAUUCCCGGUGUAGCGGUGAAAUGCGUAGAGAUCAUGAGGAAGACCAGUGGCGAAGGCGGGUCUCUGGACAGUUCCUGACACUGAGACACGAAGGCCAGGGGAGCAAACGGG